UAAUUCACCUAUCUAAUCAAAAGUAACAAGUAAUUAACUAAGAACCGGUUCUAAUGUAAGACGUGUAGGUGUCUGAUUGGUUCAGGCAUAAUUAAAAAUAAAAAUAAAAUCAGCGCGUGUGUUUUUGUCUCCGUCUCUCUCUGUUUUAUCUCUGACUCUUUGCCCCAACGCAGCCAUCUCCGUCGCAAAAAACAGCGGCAAACCUCCGAUCCGGAUUCGGCUCAAGUUUACAUCGAGAAACAAAUUUGUGAAAGUGAGAGAGGCAGUCGUGAGAAUCGCGGAUCCAACACGAAAGCUCGGAGGAUUCGUGGUGGCAAUUUCUGUUUAAUAAGCUUUGAUGUUGUUCGAUCUUGUGAGCUGUGAUCCUGAAUCUGUUGGCUCAAUGGUUAAUUUGAGGAAUUUUUGAAAUUGAAUUGGCUUGUCCUGAGAAUUUUUUAUGUAUUGUCAAUGAUCAAAAACCAUCUUUUGGUGUCUGUUUCAGGGAUUGAUUGAAAUUAAACGUUAGCAACAUUUUACUCUAGGUUUGAAUCUUGGUAAUCUCGCCCACGGAUUUAUGGCUUAGAGUAUGAUACGUGACGUUGGUCCGUAACAGAGUACCAUCUUGGAGUUUCUAUAUCUCUUAUUGCUGCUACUUGUUUUUGGCUGAGAAAAUGAAGAGAUUUUAUUGGAGGGAUUCUUGUUGUAUCAAUGUGUAUGUUCUUGACGGUGUAUAUAGAUAUGUCGACUUGAAAAAUCCUGUUGAGAAGCCUUACAAUUGCUGCUGCUGCUGCUUCUGUUACUGUUACUGCAGCGACCAAUCUCUUCAAGAUUCUUCUCAAGUACAGGCCAGAGGACAAAGCUGCAAAAAAGGAUCGCAUUUCGAAGAAGGCUCCAGCUGAGACCGAAGGAAAGCCUUCUGGAUCCAAGAAGCCCGUUGUUGUCAAGUAUGGACUCAACCACGUAACUUACCUCAUCGAGCAGAACAAAGCACAGCUUGUGUGAUAUUUCUGAUAUAAAUAUGGUUUUUUUUUUUUUCUGAUAUAAAUAUGGUUAAGAGAGAUGGUCUUAGGCAGGACAAAAAACCAUGGUUAUCUAAAGCCAUGGGAUAUAUUUUAAGUAACUUCAGUCUUCGUCAGGACUUUUGUAGUUUCGGUUAACUAAAUCACUGUGUGUUUGCUUUA